AUUGAACGCUGGCGGCAGGCCUAACACAUGCAAGUCGAACGAGUGGCGGACGGGUGAGUAAUGUCUGGGAAACUGCCCGAUGGAGGGGGAUAACUACUGGAAACGGUAGCUAAUACCGCAUACCAUCGGAUGUGCCCAGAUGGGAGUAUCUAGUAGGUGGGGUAACGGGGUACCUAGGCGCCGAUCCCUAGCUGGUCUGAGAGGAUGACCAGCCACACUGGAACUGAUACACGGUACAGACUCCUAAGGGAUGCAGCAGUGGGGAAUAUUGCACAAUGUGCGCAAGCCUGAUGCAGCCAUGCCGCGGGUAUGAAGAAGGCCUUCGGGUUGUAAAGUACUUUCAGCGGUGAGGCGUUACCCGCAGAAGAAGCACCGGCUAACUCCGUGCCAGCAGCCGCGGUAAUAC
rnacentral:rRNA from 1 species